CCCUUAGAUGUCCUGGGCUGCACGCGCGCUACACUGGAAGUUACGGAUUGAGAUACUACCUUGUCCGAAAUGGUCCGGGUAAUCACCUAAAAGCUUGUCAUAAUUGGAAUGGAUUAUUGUAACUAGUAAUCCUGAACGAGGAAUUCCUAGUAAGUCCCAGUCAACAGCUGGUACUGAUUACGUCCCUGCCCUUUGUACACACCGCCCGUCGCUACUACUGAUUGGACGUUUAAGCAAGAUUUUUAAACACUGACAGUGUGUAGUUCACGCUAUACUACAGUAAGAAGAAGAAGAUCGAGCUUACUUGUCUAGAGGAAGUAAAAGUCGUAACA
rnacentral:rRNA from 1 species